AUUGAACGCUGGCGGCAGGCUUAACACAUGCAAGUCGAGCGGGGGAGAUUGCUUCGGUAAUUGACCUAGCGGCGGACGGGUGAGUAAUACUUAGGAAUCUGCCUAUUAAUGGGGGACAACAUCUCGAAAGGGAUGCUAAUACCGCAUACGCCCUACGGGGGAAAGCAGGGGAUCACUUGUGACCUUGCGUUAAUAGAUGAGCCUAAGUCGGAUUAGCUAGUUGGUGGGGUAAAGGCCUACCAAGGCGACGAUCUGUAGCGGGUCUGAGAGGAUGAUCCGCCACACUGGGACUGAGACACGGCCCAGACUCCUACGGGAGGCAGCAGUGGGGAAUAUUGGACAAUGGGGGGAACCCUGAUCCAGCCAUGCCGCGUGUGUGAAGAAGGCCUUAUGGUUGUAAAGCACUUUAAGCGAGGAGGAGGCUCUCUUGGUUAAUACCCAAGAUGAGUGGACGUUACUCGCAGAAUAAGCACCGGCUAACUCUGUGCCAGCAGCCGCGGUAAUACAGAGGGUGCGAGCGUUAAUCGGAUUUACUGGGCGUAAAGCGUGCGUAGGCGGCUUUUUAAGUCGGAUGUGAAAUCCCCGAGCUUAACUUGGGAAUUGCAUUCGAUACUGGGAAGCUAGAGUAUGGGAGAGGAUGGUAGAAUUCCAGGUGUAGCGGUGAAAUGCGUAGAGAUCUGGAGGAAUACCGAUGGCGAAGGCAGCCAUCUGGCCUAAUACUGACGCUGAGGUACGAAAGCAUGGGGAGCAAACAGGAUUAGAUACCCUGGUAGUCCAUGCCGUAAACGAUGUCUACUAGCCGUUGGGGCCUUUGAGGCUUUAGUGGCGCAGCUAACGCGAUAAGUAGACCGCCUGGGGAGUACGGUCGCAAGACUAA
rnacentral:rRNA from 1 species